UGUUGGGUUAUCAACUAUUCACUUCCAACUAGUUACAUUUUGUUUUUAUAAUUGUUUUUAUUUUUAUUUUUUAUUGUACUUUAUCUAUGCAUUAGCAAUUAUCUAAUAUAUACAAUGAUGUAGUGUAAGACAUAUUACAUAGGCCUACUGAUGGAAUAUAUAUUUGUGCCUCGUAAAAAAGUACUAAUAUCUAACAAAGAUGUACUAAACUGGAAUAAAUACCAGCAACAAUUAGAAAUAUGGAAGUGAACAGUUAAUUUCAGUACCACAAAACCACAUACAAUUCAAUGACAAAAAUAUAUUCCAGAAAGAAAAGGUAGGAUAUGGAUUUAAUCACAAACUGUUAGUAGGCUACUGAUUUUAUGAUUGAUCAUGUUAGCUACAGCAUUCGAGUCCACACCCAUCCAACUAGAAGUGACAGCCUGGUGAAUAAUCUGCAUUACAAGAAGAAAAGAAAAAUCUUUAAAGGUUAUUCAUGAUUACAUAUCGCUGCCAGGGUAUCUUGUCUUUACAGUGCUUUGUCAUAUGGAGCUGUUUGGUAGAUCGCGAUCUAUCUAAUUUGUUUGUCUACACUGUAAUUAAAAUGUAAUAAAGGCAGACCAGCGUAUAACUCUAAACUGGCACAUAACUUCAUUUUGAUGUGCAGUUAAACAAAGGCAGGACGCCGUAACUCAAUUUGAGCGGUCCAAACAAAGUGAAAGAGAGGUAACUGCUGUUAUACGGUGUUCUGCCUUGGUUUCUCUGGGACUUUUAGAAGUUACAGUUGAGAUGUCCCAUUAUUUUCUUGGAGAAAAAAAUAAAUUAAUUCAAGAUACUUAUACACAUGGAAAAGGAUGUAUAAGAAUGUUCCAAAAAUAUCAAUAACUCAUUUUCGACUAAAAACAGUCACAGUCUUUUGCCUUUGCAUGGCAGUAUAGCUCAUGGGGAAAUGUUAAAACGGCUUGCCACAAAGUCAAUAUUUUGUCAAUGACAAGUAAAUAGCUAUUCUAUUCAAAUGCACUCAUUGCAUUGCAUAGUCUACUUUGGCAUUGCUGCAAACUUUGCCCAGUUUAAGGAGUUUUUACCAAAAUUAGAGGUAGCCCAUUUAAAGGCAUUGUGUAUUUUCUUCCAUUAUGGACAAGUGUCUCUCAGAUAACAUAUCACUUGUUGGAAUACGUGUCUUAAAUGACUAAUUUUGUGUGCUUCUAUUGUGUAUCGUCGUCUCGUCAAGAGCCUGUUCCAUAUCAACAACCAGUGAAGGAUGCAUAAGAUGCUAUAUGUGAACUUAUUCUCAGUUUGUGCUACUAUUCCUGCAUAGUUCAAAGAUCUAAAAUGGUUCUGAUUCGAGCACAAAUUCAGAGACUUACUAAACUCACUGAAGGGAGGGGAAAGAUCAGAGACUGAAAACGCUUUCGACUGGAUACUUCUAAUCACGUUGGAGCUAUGCAGUCUCCAUAGCAACGAUAGGUUCCUCAGUAACCCGCUUUUGUUGCCAUGGCUUCUUUUUUUUUUUUUUUUUUUUGCCAGAAUGUUUUGAAGUCUGGCUGAAGAUUCACAGUGUUGCUGGAUUUUGUAAACUGGUUAACAUGGAUUCACUCAUCUAACCAGAGGGCCAUAACAACAACAAUACAACAGAUAUAUUGUCCUGAACUAUCUCCAGAAGACCCCAACUAUUAAUCCACACUCUGGGAUAAAGUGCAAUACAUGUGUCCAGCAGGCACAGACUCAAGUGUAUAAUUAAUGGAUGUGAUACACGGAUCUUUCACAAGGGGAUGCUGUAUCUUCACCAAACGCUUCCCGCCAUCUCUAUUCUCUCACAGGAUGGAAAUCCCGCUUUGUCUUAAGUAAGAGCAGUGAGGAAGGAGACAGAGGCGGAUGAAGAUUUAAAGGAGUUUAAUCUCUGGAGGCCGGAUUGCCAAAUGUAGGUGCUCGUGGACUGUUCCCUGCUCCUCCACACUUCUGGGAGGAGGUGCCUUCAAAAAACACCCCUCGUCCAGCCUCCGGGCACUGAUUUCCCCCUGGCUAAACAGCCCCAGCGCACCACUUGCCUUUUCUGUGUCAGUAUUCUGUCUCUUUACCAGAAGAAGAUGGACUCCUGUGUUGAUGUGCUGUUUCUGCUGCUAAAUGUAAGACUCUAAACUCCACAUAAGUGCUCCUACACACGCUCCCACCGCCGUAGCCCAGCAGUGUGGAGGGCUGUGCUAGUUAUGCUAGCUCCAUCAGUUGUCAUGUGUCGUCAGGCUGUGAUGUCGUCUGUGACGUUGCUGUAUAAACUGAUAGUCAUAAA